rnacentral:lncRNA from 1 species
GUCGGGGCCGCAGAUAACAACGGGCGCCGAGCCGGGGCCGCGGGACCAGACGGUGCAGGGAGUGGGACGAGCCAAGGACCCCCAUCCUGGGCAGCCGGGCCCCGGAGCAGCGGAAUGGGGUCCAGCAGCCUCCUGAGACUCCUCUGCAUCGUCUCGGUGCUGGCCAGGUGCCUGCACCCUGCCACGGCCCAGUGGUUUUCUCUGGGCUCAGAGGACACCACCCCGGAUCCAGGCACCAGCCCCGUGCCCCCCAGCCUGGGUGGGGAGGAAGACACAGACGACAGCGUGGAGCCCGUGGGGAAGGUGCUGCUGAGCAAACCUCCUCUGGCAACAGCCCCUAAACGCCGNNNNNNNNNNNNNNNNNNNNCGCCGGGACCAGCUCUCCAGGGGGGCAGUGAAGGGGUCAGGCCGUGCCCCACCACGCACACGAGGACAGCACCGACCCACGGCCGCCCCGGAGAUCUUGGAGGGGAGCGCAGUGGAGGAGGAGUUCCUGCAGAUCCAGACCACGGCCAAGGGGCUGCCUCGGCGGCUCCCGUCGGCCCCGGAGAUGGACCCUGCCCUCCAG